rnacentral:rRNA from 1 species
UACGUAGGGGGCAAGCGUUGUCCGGAAUCAUUGGGCGUAAAGCGCGUGUAGGCGGCUCGGUAAGUCUGCUGUGAAAGUUCAGGGCUCAACCCUGAAAUGCCGGUGGAAACUGUCAAGCUUGAGUCCGGAAGAGGCGAGUGGAAUUCCUGGUGUAGCGGUGAAAUGCGCAGAUAUCAGGAGGAACACCAACAGCGAAGGCAGAUCUCUGGGACGUUACUGACGCUGAGACGCGAAAGCGUGGGGAGCAAACAUG